GGAUGUGGGGGGGCGAUCUGGCUGCAAUAUCUGUCACCCCAUUGAUCACCAGGGUUGAUUUGGCUGAUCUGGCUGGCUAGGCGGGUGUCCCCUUCCUCCCUCACUGCUCCACAUGCAUCCCUCCUGAAGCUGUGCGCUUGGUCGAACAGGACGACCUUCCCCAAUAGAGACAGAACCAUUCAUCGGUCAAAGGUAUACGUUUU
rnacentral:snRNA from 1 species